UCGUGGAAUAGUCUGUCUGGCUAAUUCCAAUAUCGAGCGAGACCUCAGCCUGCUAAUUAGAUGGUGGAAUUUCGAUUCUUAUAGAGGGACUAUCGGUUUACAGCCGAAGGAAGUUUGAGGCAACGAC
rnacentral:rRNA from 1 species